GACGAACGCUGGCGGCGUGCCUAAUACAUGCAAGUAGAACGCUGAAGAGAGGAGCUUCCUCUUCUUGGAUGAGUUGCGAACGGGUGAGUAACGCGUAGGUAACCUGCCUUGUAGCGGGGGAUAACUAUUGGAAACGAUAGCUAGUACCGCAUAACAAUGGAUGACACAUGUCAUUUAUUUGAAAGGGGCAAUUGCUCCACUACAAGAUGGACCUGCGUUGUAUUAGCUAGUAGGUGAGGUAAUGGCUCACCUAGGCGACGAUACAUAGCCGACCUGAGAGGGUGAUCGGCCACACUGGGACUGAGACACGGCCCAGACUCCUACGGGAGGCAGCAGUAGGGAAUCUUCGGCAAUGGGGGCAACCCUGACCGAGCAACGCCGCGUGAGUGAAGAAGGGUGUCGGAUCGUAAAGCUCUGUUGUAAGUCAAGAACGGGUGUGAGAGUGGAAAGUUCACACUGUGACGGUAGCUUACCAGAAAGGGACGGCUAACUACGUG
rnacentral:rRNA from 1 species